rnacentral:rRNA from 1 species
GGAGGGAGCGAGCGUUGUUCGGAAUCACUGGGCGUAAAGGGCGCGUAGGCGGCCGAGUAAGUCGUGUGUGAAAGACCGGGGCUCAACUCCGUGUACUGCAUGCGAUACUGCUCGGCUAGAGAAAGGUAGAGGCGAGUGGAAUUCCCGGUGUAGCGGUGGAAUGCGUAGAUAUCGGGAAGAACACCUGUGGCGAAGGCGGCUCGCUGGGCCUUUUCUGACGCUGAAGUGCGAAAGCGUGGGGAGCAAACAGGAUUAGAUACCCUGGUAGUCCACGCCGUAAACGAUGGGCACUAGGCGUUGGGAGGAUUGUCCCUCUCAGUGCCGUAGCUAACGCGUUAAGUGCCCCCGCCUGGGGAUACGGCCGCAAGGCUG